GUGCGUAUUUCAGGGUACUAAAAUGCUUCCUUGUUCGUUUGUCCUGUUAGCCACCUGUUUUCUGUGCAGGCGUCUGAUCAGGUUGGUUAAGUUCUUCAGGACUUUGUCAGUAAAUAAUAUGGAUUAAAAAGCUCCCUCCAAUCACUUAACUGCUUUGUAUCUUGUUUGUCUGUAGCACCUCCCACUCCACUUUUCAGCCUUGUACCCACUCACCUGACGUUUCAGGCCUUUUAAACCCAGUAAGUACCCGCUGUUCCUCGUAGUGUGGGUCUGCACUGUCCAACAACUGUAUUUCAUUUCAUAAUGCUGUAUGAUUCAGACUUGAAUAGGCCGCACAGAUGAACUGCUAAUUCACAUUAACUGUACAGUCACGCAAUGGACUUGCAUGGUAAGUAAACAAAAAAAAAAGAACGGCAUUAUACUAAACCAUUUAGAAGUUUAAAGGAUGUAUUAAGAGUGCAAUGCCAAUUUGAAAAGUAUUACACAAGAUGCAAUUAAAAACAUGAACGCCGCUGGAGGGCGUUUCUGUGUGAUGUCAGUUUGAAAGUUGAACGUGACUAUAUGACCUUGAUGGUUUCAUAAAUGUCAAGCGUUUUACAUGUUGAGGCAUACUACAAUAUAAUUAGAAAUAUGUAUCGAAACCGUUGUUUUGUGACGUUCACAAAUAAACUGAAAGUGAUUACA